rnacentral:rRNA from 1 species
UACGGAGGGUGCAAGCGUUAUCCGGAUUCACUGGGUUUAAAGGGUGCGUAGGUGGGCAGGUAAGUCAGUGGUGAAAUCUCUGAGCUUAACUCAGAAACUGCCGUUGAUACUAUCUGUCUUGAAUAUAGUGGAGGUGAGCGGAAUAUGUCAUGUAGCGGUGAAAUGCUUAGAUAUGACAUGGAACACCCAUUGCGAAGGCAGCUCGCUACACUAUCAUUGACACUGAGGCACGAAAGCGUGGGGAUCAAACAGG